AUGGUAGAGGUGGGAGCGGUGAGCAGCCCAGAGAAUACAGUGGAGCACAGUCUUGUAUCUCUGCCUGUCCCAGAGGGAGCUGUCGCCUCUCUCAGCUGCACUUAUUCUGACAGUGCUUCUGUGUAUUUCGUAUGGUACAGACAGUACCCUGGGAAAGGCCCUGAGUUUCUGCUGUCUGUAUAUGCCAACAAAGACAAAGAGGAAGGAAAAUUUACAGCGCAGGCCAACAAAGCAAACAAGCAUGUCUCUCUGCUUAUCAGAGACUCCGAGCCCAGCGACUCAGCCACCUACCUCUGUGCAGAGAGCACACAGUGCUCCCCAGGCACCUGCAGCCUGUGCCCAAACCUGCUGGGGCCCCAGCAGUGCCUCUUGGAGAGCUUAGGCUGCAGGGCACAGACAUCCGCACAUUACCGCUCUAGAUGUGAAUGA